AAAUGUUGAAUGUCCGCGUUUGUUGACACUCUUACAAUUCAAUGGACUGACAGUUGACAUUGUUGUAAGAGAGAAAAUAUCUGAUAAUAUCUGUAAGAGGGCAAACAUAUACAGUACACCAAGUUUUGACUUAAAAUGACUUAUAUUACCCCUUACCGGGAUAAGCCAUUUCUGGGGAUAUCUAGAGACAACCGAGUCCAGGUUUUGUUGUAUCCAAGUAUUUAUUUAUUUAUUUAUUUUAUUUAUUAGUUUCGCCAUAUUACAAUACACAAAACUAUUACAAGAACAAGAAUAAUAGACAUGACUCAAGGCAGGGUGACCGCAACAGCGUGAGUCAAUUACUGCGGGCCCGAAUUAGGACAUACAAACAUAAAAAAACUAUCUAAAUAAAACUAUAACUAAUAGCAACACCUAAGAGGCUGAACCAGAGUUCGAGCGGUAUUACACUUGGUACAUAUAGUUUUGAAUGUUCUUGGAUUUUCAGGAUCGUAGGAAAUUUCCAGAGCACGGAAGUAAUAACUUAGAAUAGUGGAUUUAAAUGAGUUCAAAUUUAUCAUGUUAAGUUUCAGUUCGUCAGCUAGGCUGUUCCACACCCUGGUUCUUCGAAUUAGAAACGAGCGUUGAUGCGUCGUUGUUUUGCUCCUGGGAAUGACAAACUUAGGAAUGUCCGUGUUUAUAGACGAUCUGGUCGGUCUGGAGCUUCGGGUUUUUGGUACUACAGAAGGUUCUAUUAUUACCAGAUUGUUUACGAUUUAAAAAAAAAAAAAAAAAAUCCAAAAACUCAUGCCAGUAACAUAAUGGAAGUAAUGAUAAAGACUGUAAUCGCGAGGUAUAACUGUCUGGACUGGAAAACGGCAGAUUGAGAAUAAAUUUCGUGGCACGCCUUUGAACUUUUUCCAAUCUUGCAAUUAGGUUGAUGGACUGUGGCGACCAGAUCUGGGUGGCAUAUCCUAAGUGAGGGCGUACUAAUGUUAAAUACAAUGCCCUCCUCACGCUGGUACGUGUUUUGAAUGAACCGUGCGUUCCGUCUGAUAUAACCUAGCAACUUGUUAGCACGGGAAGAUUGUUCUACUACUUGAUUAUUCCAGGUGAGAUCAGUUGACAUCCAGACACCAAGAUCUCGUUCCGAUUUUGUCAUUUCUAGAGUUUCACCCUUCAUCUUGUAUGUAGUCACCACUGGCUUCGUUUUACGAGUGAUAGACAGCGACCGACAUUUACUUUGAUUGAAGGGGAGACCGGAAGUCGAAGACCAGGAUUCUAAGUUGGACAAGUCCUGUUGGAGUAAUUUCGUAUCGUUUAUUGAUGCGAUAGACUUAAAUAUUUUCGUAUCAUCUGCGAACAUAGCGACUUGACUGGAUUUGACGAGACCGGGUACUGCGGGUAGGUCAUGAACAUAUAAGAGGAAUAAUAUGGGACCUAGUAUGGAGCCUUGAGGUACCCAGGUAUCGUUAACACAGACGACGUCGGAGCUUUCCGCAUAUACCAGAUCUUGAAAACGAUUGAGAUUGUAUAUUGUUUUAUUGGUCACUACGUCUCGGUUGAAGCUCUUCAGACUCCUUGCAUUAAGCAGUAAGC